AUUGAACGCUGGCGGCAUGCUUUACACAUGCAAGUCGAACGGUAACAGGCCGCAAGGUGCUGACGGGUGGCGAACGGGUGCGUAAUGCAUCGGAACGUGCCCAGUCGUGGGGGAUAACUACUCGAAAGAGUAGCUAAUACCGCAUACGAUCUAUGGAUGAAAGCGGGGGACCGUAAGGCCUCGCGCGAUUGGAGCGGCCGAUGUCAGAUUAGGUAGUUGGUGGGGUAAAGGCUCACCAAGCCAACGAUCUGUAGCUGGUCUGAGAGGACGACCAGCCACACUGGGACUGAGACACGGCCCAGACUCCUACGGGAGGCAGCAGUGGGGAAUUUUGGACAAUGGGCGCGAGCCUGAUCCAGCAAUGCCGCGUGCAGGAAGAAGGCCUUCGGGUUGUAAACUGCUUUUGUACGGAACGAAACGGCUCUGGUUAAUACCCGGGGCUAAUGACGGUACCGUAAGAAUAAGCACCGGCUAACUACGUG
rnacentral:rRNA from 1 species